GACGAACGCUGGCGGCGUGCUUAACACAUGCAAGUCGAGCGGAGCGGCGAACGGGUGAGUAACGCGUUAGUAACUGCCCCCCUCCCUGGGGUAACAGUUGGCAACGGCUGCUAAUACCGGAUAGUGGGGGAUGACUCUCGUCCUAUCAGCUUGUUGGUGGGGUAGUGGCCUACCAAGGCGACGACGGGUCGCCGGCCUGGGAGGGCGACCGGGCACAUUGGGCUGAGAUACGGACCAAACUGCAACGGGGGGCAGUGGGGGUGAGUAUGGCACAAUGGGGGAAACCCUGAGGCAGAGACGCCGCGUGCGGGAUGACGGCGUUCGGGUUGUAAACCGCGUUCAGCCAUGACGCGGUAGUGGCAGAAGAAGCACCGGCUAACUACGUGCCAGCAGCCGCGGUAAUUC
rnacentral:rRNA from 1 species